rfam:Ipomoea nil DNA, scaffold: scaffold1525, cultivar: Tokyo-kokei standard.
GUUGCUUUGGCUGAGUGGUUAAGGCGUGCGCCUGUUAAGUGCAUGCGUUUUCCCAACGAGUGUCUGAAUCCCUCAAGCAACG